rnacentral:rRNA from 1 species
UAACGCGUGGGUAACCUGCCUCAUACAGGGGGAUAACAGUUAGAAAUGACUGCUAAUACCGCAUAAGCGCACAGUGCUGCAUGGCACAGUGUGAAAAACUCCGGUGGUAUGAGAUGGACCCGCGUCUGAUUAGCUAGUUGGUGAGGUAACGGCUCACCAAGGCGACGAUCAGUAGCCGGCUUGAGAGAGUGAACGGCCACAUUGGGACUGAGACACGGCCCAAACUCCUACGGGAGGCAGCAUG